GUGCUUGCUUCAGCAGCACACAAACUAAAACUGGAAUAAUGUACAGAAGGUUAGCAUGGCCCCUGCACAAGGAUGACAUGCACACUUGUGAAAUGUUCCAUAUUUUU
rnacentral:snRNA from 1 species